rnacentral:rRNA from 1 species
UCGGGAACACCCGAAGUCCGUAGCCUAACCGGCAAGGGGGGCGCGGCCGAAGGUGGUUCGAUAAUUGGGGUGAAGUCGUAACAAGGUAUC